CAGUCACAUUUUCCGACGUUAAAACAUGCUCUCCGCUGUCCCCAGCCUUCGCUCGGAGGCGCAUUCCCUUCUCCAAUGGGGAGGAAAAAAAGGUCAGCGGUAAAAAUUUCGCAGGAACUCCAUCAUUGUCCUCACGGGACGUGUUUCGUCAGGAGGAGAGAGCCGGGCGUCUCGCUCUGUCGACACAGAUCCACAUCACGAAACGCAUGGAGAGGGGGAAUGAAGGAAGUAAGGACGGUGUUUCUCAGCACUGCACCAGCGAUGGAUUUGAAAAUUUACAAGACAUAAAUAUAAGGCAGAGCCUGCCCCGAAUUGCUCAGCAGCCAACUGCUCUGGUUUUACAAGAAGAGGCACUCUGGGAAGUCCACAUGAGAACAGAUGCGAUCCCCUCCAGCAAUAUCCUGAUGACAACCUAAAAGUUAGUGAAUGUGAAAGUGAAGAUGGCACACUGGGACAAAGGAUGUCCUUGAUGCUUGUCCCGUCUUCAGCAAAUUGAGAGGUAGAUCUGAGCCUCAAGAACUGUGGACAACAAUAAACAACCCUACGAGAAGGAGGCUGGGCUGCUGCCAGAGCCAGAUCUGCUGGAAAUCAGUGUAAUUCCACCGGUAUGCUAUCUGAGAAGGGAACAUCAUCCAUUUUCAGCAGCUGAAGACUCCCUGGGAGUCCCCAUAGAGGCACAUGGUGCUGCAAAACGUGGACAGAUGGAUCAUGUAUCCCUCAGUACCCAGAGGACCAUCACACUUCAAGAGUAUCCUUCAUUAAAGCAGUGAUAGGAACCUAACAGUCUGCGUGUCCCUAGUUAACAGGAGCUGGUGACUGAAGGUCUGUAUAGACUGAAAGUCUAUGAUAAAGCUCCUAUUGACCGUAGUGAGAG
ensembl:lncRNA